rnacentral:lncRNA from 1 species
AGAGAGCUCCAGCACUGUCCUGCUGUCCAGAAGGAGAACAACCUGAAGUCCUGAACUGCUCAGAACUCUCUGCCGGUGACUCUCCACUGUGCUCACACGCUUGAAUGAUGCCAUUUCGAGGGAGAUAGCAUGAUGUAAUGUUGACGACAGCACAAUUGUCAUCCUGCUAAAGAGUAUUGUGAACUCAAUGGAAACGAAAAGUGAGGCUUUCAUCUGUAAGCUUAGAUCCCAUUUAUGGCAAUCAUCUCAACCUCUGCGCAGGGCUCACAGUGGAAAUUACUACAAGCUGCCGAACACAGAUGACAUCAUCUUGCCACCCACAAAUGUUAUGGGUUUGACAGCCCAGAAGAUGGCAUCCCCUGGGAGGAAUACAGCUCUAACUAAGUUGACAAGUUUUGUGUGUUUGAGAGGAAAUAGUUUCAUAAAAGUUGUUCUCCUCUCCGUUUUCUCUUUGGGUUUGGCAACUGCCACUACAAUGAAAUUAUGGUCACGACAAGGAGCCAUUAGCUUUCCCCAGAGCCAUGAGCCACAGCUCCCUCUGCGUGGAACGAUGUGAGUUUGCAGCCCUUUCCUGUUAGAGCUUUCACAACUUGGAGCUCUGGAGGCUGAGAUUUAAACCAGUGCCUAUGCUAUUGUGCUGUUACUCCUUUGCACUUCUCUCUGCUGUACUGCUAAUCACCAGGGCUUUUCAGUUAGGCCACCAGAGCUCACGCAUGCCACACAGCUACUGAAGUUGUCAUGGAUCAUAAAGACAGUGUUUCCUGACUGCUAAUUCUGCAACUGCUCUCCUGUGUUUGAUGGAAGGCUGGACAUUUUUUUUUUUUAAUGCUCAAAUUAUCUUCCAUUAAAGGACACACACCUUCUUUACAUGACCUGGAGCUGUUUCUACCUGCAGCUCUGGAGUCACGGUCAUCCCAGAUAUGCUAUUAUAUCCAUAUUAUGGAACCAUGGCUUUCUAGUAAUCAUAAAAGUGGAAAUAAAAGA